GUCUGUCCUCUUGCUGAAGCGAAUGCCCAGCUCCAAGGUGACGACUGUGGUUUCGUUUCACCGGGGCCAAGGCUGAACCAUCAGAAACUGGAAACAAAGGUGACUUCACAAGCAUUGAUGGAAAAAUAUAUUUUUAUAAACCGAAGUCUAAAAAAGUGUAAUGUAGAAGAUCCCACGGAGCUAUUUCAUGAAAGAGUGAGUGUUCUUCCCAAUGUCUGACCAUCUAUUCCUCAAGGAGGAGAAAGUGAGGACUGCAGAUGCUGGAGACCAGAGUUGAAAAAUGUGGUGCUGGAAAAACACAGCAGGCCAGGCAGCUGGAGAGGAGCAGGAGAAUCGACGUUUCGGGCAUAAGCCAUUCCUCAACACCACCGCAAAUAAUAUUAUUUUAUUGUUUGUCUUUUUUUGUGAUCCUCAUUGUGCACAAAUUUGGUUGUUGCAUUUACAAUAUUAAAACA